UGUCUGCUGCAGUCAAGUGGAGUGUGAGCUUCCCAUUAGCCUUCUCCAGCUACAUGGUCUCCUCAACACUCAAGCACUAAUGAUCUGGAUCAUGCACAGA